AGAGUUUGAUCCUGGCUCAGGAUGAACGCUGGCGGCGUGCCUAAUACAUGCAAGUCGAGCGGUAAGGCUCCUUCGGGAGUACACGAGCGGCGGACGGCUGAGUAACGCGUAGGAACGUACCCCAAACUGAGGGAUAACUGCUCGAAAGAGUAGCUAAUACCGCAUGUGCUCUACGGAGUAAAGCUACGGCGGUUUGGGAACGGCCUGCGUACGAUUAGAUUGUUGGUGAGGUAGUGGCUCACCAAGUCGACGAUCGUUAGCUGGUCUGAGAGGAUGAUCAGCCAGACUGGGACUGAGAACGGCCCAGACUCCUACGGGAGGCAGCAGUAGGGAAUUUUCCACAAUGGACGAAAGUCUGAUGGAGCAACGCCGCGUGCAGGAUGAAUGCCUUCGGGUUGUAAACUGCUUUUAUCUGUGACGAAUAUGACGGUAGCAGAUGAAUAAGGAUCGGCUAACUCCGUGCCAGCAGCCGCGGUCAUACGGAGGAUCCAAGCGUUAUCCGGAAUUACUGGGCGUAAAGAGUUGCGUAGGUGGUUUGUUAAGCAAAUAGUGAAAUCUUGGGGCUUAACCUCAAGGCUAUUAUUUGAACUGGCAGACUAGAGUUUGGUAGAGGUUAUUGGAAUUCCAAGUGUAGGAGUGAAAUCCGUAGAUAUUUGGAGGAACACCGAUGGCGUANGCAGAUAACUGGACCAAUACUGACACUAAGGCACGAAAGCGUGGGGAGCGAACGGGAUUAGAUACCCCGGUAGU
rnacentral:rRNA from 1 species